rnacentral:rRNA from 1 species
CCUACGGGUGGCAGCAGUGGGGAAUAUUGGACAAUGGGGGGAACCCUGAUCCAGCCAUGCCGCGUGUGUGAAGAAGGCCCUCGGGUUGUAAAGCACUUUCAGUGAGGAAGAACGCCUGGUGGUUAAUACCCAUCAGGAAAGACAUCACUCACAGAAGAAGCACCGGCUAACUCCAUGCCAGCAGCCGCGGUAAUACGGAGGGUGCGAGCGUUAAUCGGAAUUACUGGGCGUAAAGCGCGCGUAGGUGGCUUGAUAAGCCGGUUGUGAAAGCCCCGGGCUCAACCUGGGAACGGCAUCCGGAACUGUCAAGCUAGAGUGCAGGAGAGGAAGGUAGAAUUCCCGGUGUAGCGGUGAAAUGCGUAGAGAUCGGGAGGAAUACCAGUGGCGAAGGCGGCCUUCUGGACUGACACUGACACUGAGGUGCGAAAGCGUGGGUAGCAAACAGGAUUAGAUACCCUAGUAGUC